AAUAUUGUGCAAUGGGUGGUAAUUCUGGCGCAGCGACGCCGCGUGAAGGAGGAAGGUUUUCGGAUCGUAUUAUUCCUGUCAAGAGGGAAGAAACCUAAUAAGAAUAAUACUCUUAGUAAUUGACGAUACCUCUAGAGGAAGCCCCGUUUAAUUCAUUGCCAGCAGCCGCGGUAAUAAUGAAGGUACAAGAUUUAAUCGGAAUCACUGGGCGUAAAGCGCUCGUAGGAGGCUUUGUAAGUCAGAUUGGAAAGCCCACGGCUCAACCGUGGAAUUGCAUUUGAUAUUGCAUCGCUAGAGUAUAGGAGAGGGAAGUGGAAUUUCUGGUGUAGGAGUGAAAUCCGUAGAGAUCAGAAGGAACACCGGUGGCGAAGGCGACUUCCUGGAUUAUUAUUGACACUGAGGAGCGAAAGCGUGGGGAGCAAUCAAGAUUUGAUACCCUGGUAGUCCAUGCCGA
rnacentral:rRNA from 1 species